GAUGAACGCUAGCUACAGGCUUAACACAUGCAAGUCGAGGGGAAACGCCAUCGAAAGCUUGCUUUUGAUGGGCGUCGACCGGCGCACGGGUGAGUAACGCGUAUCCAACCUGCCCAUCACUUGGGAAUAACCUUGCGAAAGUAAGACUAAUACCCAAUGAUAUCCCACGAAGGCAUCGGAAUGGGAUUAAAGAUUUAUCGGUGAUGGAUGGGGAUGCGUCUGAUUAGCUUGUUGGCGGGGUAACGGCCCACCAAGGCAACGAUCAGUAGGGGUUCUGAGAGGAAGGUCCCCCACAUUGGAACUGAGACACGGUCCAAACGCAUACGGGAGGCAGCAGUGAGGAAUAUUGGUCAAUGGGCGAGAGCCUGAACCAGCCAAGUAGCGUGCAGGAAGACGGCCCUAUGGGUUGUAAACUGCUUUUAGAAGGGAAUAAAGUGGGUCACGUGUGACUUUUUGCAUGUACCUUAUGAAUAAGGACCGGCUAAUUCCGUG
rnacentral:rRNA from 1 species